rnacentral:rRNA from 1 species
UACGAAGGGGGCUAGCGUUGCUCGGAUUUACUGGGCGUAAAGGGAGCGUAGGCGGAUAGUUCAGUCAGAGGUGAAAUCCCGGGGCUCAACCUCGGAACUGCCUUUGAUACUGGCCAUCUUGAGUAUGGGAGAGGUGUGUGGAACUCCGAGUGUAGAGGUGAAAUUCGUAGAUAUUCGGAAGAACACCAGUGGCGAAGGCGACACACUGGCCCAUUACUGACGCUGAGGCUCGAAAGCGUGGGGAGCAAACAGG